CGGACAAACCUUCUAGAUCUGGAGGUAUCUUGCUGUCUCAAUUUUUGUUCUUUCUUUAUAAACUCACACCAUAGAUUGUUUGGAGAUGUUAUAUAUCAGCCUUGACUGUGUUUUGUUAACAUAAGAUCCCUUCUUAAUUUUAUCUAAUAUUGUGUGCUGCCAUCCUAAGCCUUAUUAACCAAUAUGGAUAACUAGUGUUAUACUUUAUUCACUAUACCAUCUGUGAUUGAUAAUGAUAUUAGGGGUGAUAUGUUUAAGUUUAUCACAAAGCAUUGUAAGUUUUUUUGUUUGAUGAUAGUUUAGGUUAACAACUUGACCAUAUCAGAACAAAGUGAUUUUCUUCUAGUGGUAAUGAUGCAGUAUUGGAAGAGGAUUAUACAUAGGAAUUGCUUUCAUUGUAUAAUUAGGAAGUUUAGAUUUUUAUUAUUUACAAAUUUACUUCUCUAUUUGAAAUUUUUUUUGAAUUUUUUUUUUGAAUAGGGGGCAAUAUUGUGGGUAUUAACUCUCAUGAAAGACUUGAGUAGGGAUCCUUUUACAAAUGCACCAACAGUAGUUCUGACAGGAUACCAAUAUUUUCUUAUUAAUCAGUUGAUUGAAAAGCAAAAUGAAACUUGUGAGGAAGUAAAUGUCAGAAGGCACAAAAAAUGUGAAUUGAAAUGCCACUAUAGCUUUUAAAUGUUGAUCUGCAAUUGCUAGUUGCUACCAUCGGAAUUUACUUCUUGAUUUGAAUUUCCUGUGCCUGUUAGCUCUCAUGAAUAAAAUGCACCAUUAAUCUUUAAAAUAAAGUAUGCAAUCCAAGAUAGUGGACCAUAUCAAUAUAUCUUAUUAUAGCCGUAACAUAGGUUAGCAAAUUGUAUCUAACAUACUUAUGUGUAUGUGUUGAGAGGCAGUUUCAUUCUGAAGUGAUCUAUUAGCUAAAAUUAGCCCAUUGAGCUUUUACAGUUAUGUAAAGUACAGAACAUUGUCAUUUUUAUAUUAGGAGCUGUCUCAUCAUUUAGAAAUUUUAAAUGAUUGGAUUUUAAUGAGAGAGCAAUUUGAAAUGGUUACUCAACUCUGAUGGCAUGCUUUCAAUAUUUAUUUUAGUCGAGGGGCCCUUGGAAAGUCUUUAAGACAAAAGUGUGUGGGGAAAAAAUAGGAGAGAAGUUGCUACAUCAAAAUUUAGUUUUAUUGUAGGACUGUUACAAGGAUUCUAAAAUAAAAAACAAAUAAUUAAAAUUUACGCCAUUGUAUGGUGUGUGGCACAAAUGGGAUGGCGGGGCUAUGCCUAGAAAUAAAAUAGUAUAUAUGAACUAGACUCUUAAUUGAAUUGUAUCCUAUUAUUGAGGAGUUAGGCAAGGCGCGAUUCUAAUUGUUUGGGAGUUUGAAUAGGAGUUGAUCAGAAAGAAGUUUUCAGAAUCAAGAAUAAUAAGAUUCUAAGAUUUUCUAAAAGGGAGUUUCACUAUUAUGUAUAAUAGAAUAUUACUUUUCUCUAUCCUUUCCUCUGCAGAGGAAAUGUUCCACCUGAUUUGUUGUACUGUGUGAUGAAUCAUAUUUUUUUAUUAUAUUUGUUUUAGUCACUUUCUUCUCAUUGUCUUUCUUGUCGUUAUAAUGUAUAUGGUUGAUGCAGCCAUUUUGAUAUGAAAUGGCUUAAUAAUUUGUUUAUUAAUCAUUAAUCAUGGCAAGGAAAUAGCUUAUAUUAAUAAAUGUAUGUGGUAUUGUGGUCAUGAUUGUGAAAUGGAUUACUUGGCACCAGCUGAAUAAGUUACCUUCAAUUAUAUAAUAUAUCGAUGCACCAGGGUGAGCUUUUACAUUGCUUCUUUUUAACUAGAAGAUCAUGUAUUUGAGUCGUGGAAACAAUAUCUAUAAAAAUGUAGGGGAAGGUAUAUGUAUAACAGAUGAUUGCGGAACUGACGUCAUUCUUUUUUUAUUGUUUAUCAAUCCAUGUGAAAAAAAAUUAAUUUGCAUAAUAGAAAUAGGUCUCUUUCUUCUUGCAGGUGACGUAAUUAGAAGGAGAUUUACUCGGAAGUGGGGGGAAGCUUGGGAUUUAUUAGUUGAACGCAUUGCUGUCAUUGUGUUUGCUUAAUCUGGAUUGGUAUUAUCCAGUGUUUUUUUACUUGUCUUUCCUGCCAUGUGCAGAGCCAGAAAUUACUCUGGAUCUUAUGAUCCUUUUGUUUAUUGACAUCCAAAUAACAUCAGCGACGUGGACAGGCCCAAGGAAUGAAAGAAACUUAGAUAAUGAAAUAAAAUUUUUUUUUUCUCCUGUCAUUGAUUGCUUUAGUUUAAUUGUGAUGGAUUAUGAUUUUGUGACACCUCAAAUUACUGAUUUGUGGAAGGAGAAAAGACAUUGGAAUUUUUCUAUUCUUCUUGCCUUGUCAACAUUUGGUUUUAAAAGUUAGUUAAUUUCGCUAUAAUGGUAUUUCUGGAUGUGAAUUGAUGGGCGGCGCCGCGGUAUAAAUGGCGGCCUUAAGAAUUGGCGCACGUCGUUA
rnacentral:misc_RNA from 1 species